GACGAACCGUGCGAACGUUGUUCGGAAUCACUGGGCUUAAAGGGCGCGUAGGCGGCUAUUCUAAGUCCGGGGUGAAAUCCUCCCGCUCAACGGGGAGAAGUGCCUUGGAUACUGGAUGGCUCGAGGGAAGGUGAGGGGUCGAGGGAACGUUCUGGUGGAGCGGUGAAAUGACGUUGAUAUCAGAAGGAACGCCGGUGGCGAAAGCGCUCGACUGGACCUUU
rnacentral:rRNA from 1 species